UAAUAUCAAUAAGCGGAGGAAAAGAAACCAACAGGGAUUGCCUUAGUAACGGCGAGUGAAGCGGCAACAGCUCAAAUUUGAAAUCUGGCUCCUUCGGGGUCCGAGUUGUAAUUUGCAGAGGAUGCUUCGAGUUAUGGUUCCUUCCGAGUUCCCUGGAACGGGACGCCAUAGAGGGUGAGAGCCCCGUCUGGUAGGAAACCAUGCUCAUGUGAAGCUCCCUCGACGAGUCGAGUAGUUUGGGAAUGCUGCUCUAAGGGGAGGUAUACUCCUUCCAAGGCUAAAUACCGGCUAGAGACCGAUAGCGCACAAGUAGAGUGAUCGAAAGAUGAAAAGUACUUUGAAAAGAGAGUCAAACAGCACGUGAAAUUGUUAAAAGGGAAGCGCUCGCUACCAGACGUGGGUUCGGUGGUUCAACCAGGUCCAUGACCUGGGGCACUCCGCCGGCCCAGGCCAGCAUCAGCUUUCCGUCGGGGGCAAAGGCGUCGGGAAUGUGGCUCUCCUUCGGGGGAGUGUUAUAGCCCGUCGCGUCAUACCCUUCGGGGGGCUGAGGUACGCGCUCCGCAAGGAUGCUGGCGUAAUGGUAGCUAGUGACCCGUCUUGAAACACGGACCAAGGAGUCAACCUUAUGUGCGAGUGCCCGGGCGUAAAACCCCAGCGCGGAAUGAAAGUGAACGUAGGUGAGAGCUUCGGCGCAUCACCGACCGAUCCCUGAUGUCCUCGGACGGAUUUGAGUGAGAGCAUAUAGGGUUGGACCCGAAAGAAGAUGAACUAUGCGUGUGUAGGGUGAAGCCAGAGGAAACUCUGGUGGAGGCUCGCAGCGGUUCUGACGUGCAAAUCGAUCGUCAAACAUGCGCAUGGGGGCGAAAGACUAAUCGAAUCUUCUGGUAGCUGGUUUCCGCCGAAG
rnacentral:rRNA from 1 species